UAACAGAUCCCUCCCAGAAAACGCAGAAAAGCAAACACCACAAAAAUGGAAAAGCCAACUUCCCAGACGCGACCCCUUCCCCGCGUCCGUCUCACGCACAGCCUCCCCUCUCUCUUCCUUCCCCGCGCGUCUCCCUCACGUUCUCUCCCUCACGCCCAAGUUCCCCCUCUCUCGCACCUCUCUCUCCUCUCCUCUCUCCUCGCCAGUACGCCUCGCAGCAGACCUGUUUUCGGCUGUGGCAGACCUGUAUUCGGCUGUAGCAGACCUGCGUUCGCGGCUAUGGCAGACGCGCUAGCCAUCCCUUCCCCUUUUUCCGUUUCCGCAAAGGACGAACUUUUUCAGAAAAAGGGGUUGCUCCAUUAAUGGAAGGGAUUUCAAAUUUGAAAUCAAUAGUCACGUUCCCGCCCUCCUAACCCCUAAAUCUUCUUCCAUAUAAACCCCACCCCUCUUCCGAAAAAGGGGUUGGCGAUUCUGAGGUUAGAGAUUAUAUCGAAAAUUUCAGAGAGUGAGAACUUUUGGGUUUCAGAAUUUUAGAAGUUGAAAAGGGUUAGCGAUUUUGGUUGAGAAAAUUUUUGAAAAAAAAGACUCUGCUUCUUCGGUCUCUUGUUAGAAAAGGGGUUGGAAAUUUCAGUUUGAAAUUCUUGGGUUUUCUGCUGUUUCUGAGAAAAUUAAAGGAUUUUUCAUCGAAGAUUUGAUACAAUUUUGAGAGAGCAUCCUGUUUCCCAUUUCCGUUGGUCUUAAAAAAAUUCUCAGACGCUGAAUCUCGCCUGGCCUUCAUUUUCUCUUCCUGUUUUGCCUCCUUCGUCUGAAGUCGAGCUCCGUUCGUGUUCGUGUGGUGGAAGUCGUCGUUCAUCUCGCUCGUCGUCCCAAGUUCGCUGCUCCUCAACAGGUAAACACUCUCUCAUAUAAUUUUCUCCUUCUCCCGAUCUCACUAUGGUGGAGCGAGUGUUGGAAACCCUUUUUUCGUAUAUGUCUACUGGUUGUUGUGCUGCUGCUGAUCGAAUCACUGUUUUUUUUUGUUUCUUUCGUUUCGUUUUGGGUUUAAACCUGUUGACAUUCGAACGUUAAGUACAUGGGUUGUGUAGCUUUACAAUAUGUUUUGGUUUGGCUGUCUAAUCUUCAUUUCCAUCGAAAUAGCGUGUCGAGUUUUGUAUGCCUGUAAAUACCUUGUUGGUGUCGCUCUCGUUUGUGUGUUUUUUUAUUGAGUCCGCGAAUUUGUGCUCCCUCGCUGGCUCUUUAUGCAGUUUCUGUCGAACAGCAUGCUUUUCUCGUUGUUGGUUUAAGAGUGUCUGAAACUCGCAUGUGUGAUUGAUGGUUGGGUUGCUCAUGGACUAUUGCUACCUUCUAAUUAGUAUAGGUUCGCAUAUACAUGAAUUUCUGUCGUCGCUUCCCUCUCGACGUCCUAGCUUUCAUCUCAUCAUCUCAUAUAGAUGGAUGAGCUGAGAUGCCGGCAUGGAGUUCGUGUUGAGUUUUUCAAUUGUAUGAAUGUCAUACAGUGAUUGAUUUUUCUGCUUGACAUUAGCAUUGUCAUGUAUGUAAGUUCAACCUUUCGAAGUUGAUUGGAGGAGUCUCAUGGUGUAGUUGUGUCUUGUCUUCCUUAGUCUACCUUAGUUUUCUUCAUUUCGAAACUUUGUCAUUCCGUGAAUUCAAAUGGUUUUACUAAGUUACUUUAUAUGUUUCAUUUUGUCAAAGUUCUGAUAAAGAGUUGCCUCCAUUUGCCUGUGAGUGACUCAAAUAAAAUUUGUUAUUAUUAUUUAUCUUAUGUAUGCAAGUUUGUUUCGUGGAAGCUAUAGCAUAUAGUAUAGAUCCAAUCUGAUGCUAUUCAUGAGUCAGAUAGGGGAAAAAUAUGACAAGUGCCACUCAUCUUCUCGUGUUUCCGCUAAAAUUCAAUUUGUGUAUUGGUUUGUCUUACAUUCCUUCUUUGCAAUUAUGUGCUUAAUUUACGUUCGUUUUGAAUGAUUAAUUACAUAAAAAAUGUUUCUUUUUUUGUAUUUAUUUUAGUUAUUUGGUUAAGGUGUCAAUUCUCAUUUCACUUGUUUUUGUGGCAUGCGAAAACUCCUUCGAGUCCGUUUGGGAUUCCCUUCUCUCCUUGCAUUCCGGAAGAGCCGUAAAGGCUCAAUCCUCUAUCGAGUCAAGGCAAACGUAUGAAGCCAAUUUCGGAAAGAUUGAAGAAGAAUCCAAAGGCGAAUUAGAAGAUUUUAGUAUUGUGUUGUAUUUUGUUUGUAAUGGGCAUAAGCCCUUAUUGUUUCACUUUCUUUGUAUAUUUUUUAUAUGUCUAGACUAGGACAGGUACGAAAAAGAAAUGGGUCAAAACCCAAAAAACAGGUGGGUCCAAAACUCGGUCAAGGCGAACAGAACCCGAGUUUGGACCCGAAUCUCUCUCUCCCUCUUUCUCUCUCUCUCUUUACUCUUUGUUUACGUGCUUUUACUUAUAUGUCGUUAGUCGAGGAUUAGAAAACUCCAACCCCAUCGAACGUCUUUUGUUUCAUCAAACUCAAAUUAAAAUUUGAAACUUUAAGAGAUAGAUGUUUAAGUUUGGAAAUCGCUUAGAGUUAAAGUUUUAACUUCAAUGAGAUAUUCUAAAAAAUUGGAGAAUUCGCAUAAGAAUUUCUAAUAAGGUUUUAAUAACAAAAAAUUGCAAAAGUUAAAACAAUAAAUAGUCAAAUUGUUAAUCGCCGGAAAACCGUAUUAAGCGGAGUGUCUUAGGUGCCUUACACCUUCCUAAGACACUAAUAUGAAUCCCGAACAUAGCUACUUUCGAAACUCCUAAAAAGUCAACAAUACCUUUAAAAUAAAAUAAACUCUUUUUCGAAAUAAUUUUUCGAUAAAACAAUAUUGAACACUGUACAUCACCAAGAUGUAGCCACAGGUGAUUCAUGAUACUCUACAGCCUUGAAAUUUAGGCUCUUCAGACAACAUGGCUUUCAUAUCUCUCCAGAUAUAUUUAAUGAUUUUAAGGACGUGAAUGACAAUAUGAAGCAAAGUGGUAUAUUAGCAUUUAUGAGAGAAUGCCAAAUGCUAAUCCUCUUUUGCUAGAGCUUGCUAAAUUAGACUUCAACAUUGUUCAAGUAACACACCAACAAGAUUUGAAAAGUCUAUCAAGGUGGUGGAAGAAAACAGGACUAGCAAAAAAGCUUUCAUUUUCAAGGGAUAUACUUGUUGAGAAUAUGUUUUGGACAGUGGGUGCAUUGUUUGAGCCUCAACAUAGCUACUUUCGAAGAUUGAUAACAAAAGUCAUUGUUUUUAUUUCAAUCAUAGAUGACAUUUAUGAUGUUUAUGGCACGCUUGAUGAGUUGGAACUCUUCACACUUGCUAUUCAAAGGUAAUUAUAAUUUUCUAUCGCAAAAUAAUUACAAAAUUUGAUUUUCUAGUAAAAAUUCAGAUGGGAUACAAAAGCAAUGGACCAAAUUCCAUACUCUAUGAAAGUAUGUUAUCUUGCACUCAUUAAUAUUAUCAAUGAAGUUGCGUAUGAUGUUCUCAAAAA